UUGACGUUCUCUUGCUCCAUCACAAGCAUGUUACCAUACUCCAUAAGCUUCUCAAGAGUCAUCUCCGGCUGCUCGAACACUGGAGGACCUUCCCUCGAGUUCACCAGCCUCUUGCUGAUCUUCUCCACUCCAAGUCCCUCAACGAACUUCCUCACCUCAUCAUCGUACACUCUCGCCCUCAAUGCACCAAAGAAAUCUACAAGAAAAUCAAGAAUCGUAUUAAGAGACACCAACAAACAUAAAAGGUACUAAUAUUUUUUUUUUAUUACCGAUGGAUUGGCCAGGGAACUGGUCAACAAGCGUGACAAUGUCUUCAUCCUUGAUCUUGUCGGUCCUGAAGAUACCCUUGCAGACACCGAUACGGUCCUCACGGGUCGGGGCCCAGUAGAACUUCUCCAUACGUCCAUCACGGAUGAGAGGAGCGUAGAGGGUGGAGAAAUCGUUACCGGU